rnacentral:lncRNA from 1 species
AGUGUGAUCCGAAGUCAGGCUAAGUCUAAGAUAAUUUCUAUAUAAUAUUCCUCUUUUAGUAAAAUAGAUAUGUUAUUAUAGUAUACAGUUGAGUAUAAUAUAAAUGAAUUUUGGUUUAGAUCUUUUUUUCUUUGUCAAAUUAUUUGGAUUUAGAUAAACAACUCAAAUCUAAAUAAAACUUGUUUUUGCUUUUCUUUUGCUUUUUAAAUUUGGGUCAGAAUAAUUUGGAUGAUUUGAACAAGAAAAGCUUUGCCGAAAUACAUAGAAUAGUAUAUUUUUUACCCAAAAUAUAUCAGAUAUUAUUGGGGUGCUCUUUCUUUGUCAAGAUAGUAUCCUCUUAUAUGAUUUGGACUUGUGAUUGGCAAAAUGAUGAUUGAGAUGCUCUUUCUUUCACUCUACUAUAUUUUGUUGGUAAGAGUUUUAUGAGUAUCCAAGGUAGAUGUGAAAGAUAGAGAGACCCACCACUAGUGUUUCCCAAUUGUCAUAUCUAUGUGGUGGCUUUCUCAGUAUCAAACAUAUAAACAAAUACUAAUACAUAUGCUUUUUAAUUUGUUAGUAUAUGGAAUACUAUAUUAUAAUAUAGCAUUUUGAAUAUACAAUUU